GGGAAGCAGCUUCCUCUGGCCAAGCUCGCCGCCACCUCRCAGCCCUUAUAGGACUGUUGGGAUUUGCCUCUGGACACUCAGUGGUUCUGCAUCUCCUUAGACUCCCUGGGUGCUUUCUCAUCCAGAACUAUUUGCCAUGGUUGCUGCUCACCCGUGUCUGGACGGGUAUUACAGCACUCCGCUGAUUCCUGUAACUCCAGGAUUUAAGCACCCAGCAUGGCCCUUAGCACCGAAGAGCAGCAAAUCUCCGGGUCCUUGUGUACCGCCGGCUUUAUUGACAGCCGGAGGAGCAGCCAGCGCCACGUGCAAGGAAUGAAGAUGUCCGAGGAAGCCGGUGCRGAAGGAUGGUCAUCGGCACGUAGGGUUUGCACGAUCUUUGGGAUAUCGUUGGGCUCCC